GAUGAAGAACGCAGCGAAAUGCGAUACGUAAUGUGAAUUGCAGAAUUCAGUGAAUCAUCGAGUCUUUGAACGCACAUUGCGCCCCCUGGUAUUCCGGGGGGCAUGCCUGUCCGAGCGUCAUUGCUGCCCUCAAGCACGGCUUGUGUGUUGGGCCUCCGUCCUCCUCCCGGGGGACGGGCCCGAAAGGCAGCGGCGGCACCGCGUCCGGUCCUCGAGCGUAUGGGGCUUCGUCACCCGCUCUUGUNNNNNNGGCCGGCGCUUGCCGACACAUCAAUCUUUUUUCCAGGUUGACCUCGGAUCAGGUAGGGAUACCCGCUGAACUUAAGCAUAUCAAUAAGCGGAGGA
rnacentral:misc_RNA from 1 species